rnacentral:rRNA from 1 species
CCUACGGGAGGCAGCAGUGAGGAAUAUUGGUCAAUGGGCGGAAGCCUGAACCAGCCAAGUCGCGUGAGGGAGUAAGGCCCUACGGGUCGUAAACCUCUUUUGCCGGGGAGCAGUGCCCAGCACGUGAGCUGGGAGGGAGCGUACCCGGAGAACAAGCAUCGGCUAACUCCGUGCCAGCAGCCGCGGUAAUACGGGGGAUGCGAGCGUGAGCCGGCUUUAUUGGGUUUAAAGGGUGGGUUGGCGGGCCUUCAGGCGGGCGGUAAAAUUGCGGGGCUCACCCCCGCCGAGCCGUCGGAGCCGGGGGCCUUGAGUACCGGAGAAGUACGCGGAAUGCGUGGUGUAGCGGUGAAAUGCAUAGAUAUCACGCAGAACCCCGAUUGCGAAGGCAGCGUACCGGCCGGUCACUGACGCUGAGGCACGAAAGCGCGGGUAUCGAACAGGAUUAGAUACCCCUGUAGUC